rnacentral:rRNA from 1 species
UACAGAGGUGGCAAGCGUUGUUCGGAAUUACUGGGCGUAAAGGGCGCGUAGGCGGCCAUCUAAGUCAGACGUGAAAUCCCCCGGCUUAACCUGGGAACUGCGUCUGAUACUGGAAGGCUCGAGUUUGGGAGAGGGAUGCAGAAUUCCAGGUGUAGCGGUGAAAUGCGUAGAUAUCUGGAGGAAUACCGGUGGCGAAGGCGGCAUCCUGGACCAACACUGACGCUGAGGCGCGAAAGCGUGGGGAGCGAACAGG